rnacentral:rRNA from 1 species
UACAGAGGGUGCAAGCGUUGUUCGGAAUUAUUGGGCGUAAAGCGCGUGUAGGCGGCUUUGCAAGUCGGGUGUGAAAGCCCUCAGCUUAACUGAGGAAGUGCGCCCGAAACUGCUUGGCUUGAGUACCGGAGAGGAUGGCGGAAUUCCCCAAGUAGAGGUGAAAUUCGUAGAUAUGGGGAGGAACACCGGUGGCGAAGGCGGCCAUCUGGACGGAUACUGACGCUGAGACGCGAAAGCGUGGGGAGCAAACAGG